CGCAUAUUUAUUUAUUCAUUUCGAAAAUCAAACGGGUUCGGGCCCGAAAACAUACGAAAAAAUAUUUAAUAACAAUAACGUUUUUGAACACAGACGUUGGUGAAAAUAAAAUGCGCGAUGUACGCAAUCAAAUACGAAUAAACAAAGGCGUAUCGAUUUAAGUAAAAGUCAGAUUAACAGAGACGUGAUUUAUAAAAAUAAUCGAAUGUAAUUGAACAGUUGCACAGAUGUAAUUACAAAGUUCGUAAUUCUAGAUAACGGAGCGUCGGGUACCAUAAUUAGUACCGGUUAGGGUUUUUAAGAGGACGUUACACCCGCAUUUAUCGGCUCAGUCCAACUACCGGGUAACGCGCAAGAACAAUGCUUACGCAGAACAUGUGAAACUAGCUUGAUUUAAAGAGAACGUUAUUUCGGAAAGAAUUCCGUUGGGUUUUCGUAAUGUUCAAAACGCACAGCUGCAUAAAAUAUAAAUACAAAAAACCGUAUUGUUUAUUUCGGUUUUUCGAUAACCGUAAUUUUUUUAAUAGUGCAUAAUUCCAAACAUACCUUUGCCAUUCCAUCCGAAAAAUUGUUCUCUAUAACUUUCGCAACACGCCACUUUUACUCUUAUAUCAGAAUUCAGCUAGUUUUAUUUAUUCCGCGUAACCAUUGUUCUUGCGUGUUACCCGGUAGUUGGACUGAGACGGGCGAUGCGGAUUCAUCGCGUUUUUUAAACGAAAUAGGUUAUUAUUGAUCCGGUGUUAGUUAAAGAAGCUUCGGACGGUAGUGAAAAAUCGGGACAAUCAAUACGGCCAUUUAUUUAUUAAUUUAGUAAUUUAUAAAUGAAAUAUAAAUAUCGAGUUUGAUUCCGCGUUGCUCGGGAGACGCGAGAUCGAGUAAGUAAAAGAUUGUAAGAAGAACGGAGAGUUCUACUAGUAUAUUACGUUUAUAAGCUAGAAACCGUAAGAACUCGUUUCGAAAUUUCCUCUAACAUAUAGUUUAUAAACCGAUAUUGUACGGAGACCAGGUAACGGCGCCGUAAUCGAAAGUAGAGCGUAAUAAUAAGGAACGAUAAAUUGAAACAAAAGUGUUUUUAUCCUCGAAGUCGGCAGCAGUACGAAACCAAUAGUAGUUUGAGAGCUGUAAUGCUCGUGUGGUGAAUAUUUGGUUUAAAUGUUAGUUUCGGAUCGAAGAGUACUCACCGAGAUCUUUGAUAACAUCAGUUUUCUCUAGAUGAGGAUUCGUGUCGUUCAAAUGUAGGUGGCAUCUACAAAAACAGUAGUUUCAAACACGUUGAAAACAUGCGUGAAAAUAGAGCUAAUGACGUUCAAGUUGGGUACACAACAAAAAAACAUUGGUAACAAUUUUCCGGAUUAAUUAUAGGGCCGUUUAAUUUUUAUUUCGUAGCGUCCGUGUUUAAAAUAAAAUAUAUAUAUUCUAUAGUACGAAC